GACGAACGCUGGCGGCGUGCUUAACACAUGCAAGUCGAACGGAAAGGCCCUGCUUUUGUGGGGUGCUCGAGUGGCGAACGGGUGAGUAACACGUGAGUAACCUGCCCUUGACUUUGGGAUAACUUCAGGAAACUGGGGCUAAUACCGGAUAGGAGCUCCUGCUGCAUGGUGGGGGUUGGAAAGUUUCGGCGGUUGGGGAUGGACUCGCGGCUUAUCAGCUUGUUGGUGGGGUAGUGGCUUACCAAGGCUUUGACGGGUAGCCGGCCUGAGAGGGUGACCGGCCCCAUUGGGACUGAGGUACGGCCCAGACUCCUACGGGAGGCAACAGUGGAGAAUAUUGCACAAUGGGCGGAAGCCUGAUGCAGCAACGCCGCGUGCGGGAUGACGGCCUUCGGGUUGUAAACCGCUUUCGCCUGUGACGAAGCGUGAGUGACGGUAAUGGGUAAAGAAGCACCGGCUAACUACGUG
rnacentral:rRNA from 1 species